GCCCCCGUGGCCGUAUUUCGUCAGAGAUGGAAGGUUCUGCGACACUGGCUAUGCCCAGCGGGGAACAACCUGUUUCUACGUAAUAUCGAGCAGCUACACUCAAUCUCAGGCGAGGUCCGCAUGCACGACAUCGACUCGAACCCUGGCCUACGCCAGAGACCCGACGGAACUUGACGGCCUCGGUGAUUUCACAUCUAAGGCUUUCUGGCUCAAUGCCCAAGUGAGAAGCGACGGCGACUUCAACUGGAAGUACGAGCAGCCGACCCAGGGAGCCCUCAACUACUUCUCCUCCAUUCGUCUCUCGGAGUGGGCCAACGCUACCGUGACGAACAGGGACCCAGACCACUCCUGUCUCAGCGUGCCCGGCCUCUCUAACAAACUAAU